AUUGGUCAACCAGGCUCCGGCGCGCUCGGCCAAUCAGAAAGGACGAUGGGGAGCGGGGGCGGGGAGAGCGAGCGGAAAGGGGAAGCGAGCGGUGCUGGGAGUAAGGGGCCGGCGGUCGGGAGGUCUGGGCGGGGCGGGGCGGGGCGGGGCGCGAGAGGACAGAGGAGGCGGGGCCGCGCGCCUCCGUAGCCCGAGGGCGGAAGCGAGAGAGAAUGAGGAGGCAAGAGGGGAGCCGCGGCUGCGGGGAGGCUCGGGACGAGUGGGUUUGUUCCGGUUGUCCUUCCGCUGCAGACGUCCGGGGCCCAGGCCCGAAGCCGAGGGGGAACUACAGCUGAUUGUGAGUAAACAACUCGAGAUUCUCUGCAGAAUACUCCUAAGAGAAGGUGUGAUCGCAGUUACCCACCGAGAGAGAUGGAGUACAGACAGGAAAUGACCACAAAGUGAUUUUGGUUUUUUAUUUGUUUAAGGUCUGUCUAAAGCCUGUCUCCCUCUCUAGACAAUAAGUCAUGGACCAUAUUUUGUUCUCUAUGU
rnacentral:lncRNA from 1 species